GGCAGCUCUACAGGGCUCGUGGAUCACUGCGGCGGCCUCCUGCUGCACCGUGACCGGAGGACCCUCUGCGUGAUCAACCCGGCCACCAGGCGCUGGGAAGAUCUUCCAUGGGAGGACGACGGCUGCGACGCGUACCUUGUGUUUGACCCUGCUGAAUCGCUGCACUAUCAGGUCUUCUCGGUGCCGCGCGAGCUCGAGAAGGUGGUACUGAAGCCACACGAUGAGUUAGAAGAGGAUUUCAUCCGAUGGCCACCAUCCAUCUGGACGUUAGAUGUGUUCUCAUCCAGCACAAGGCAGUGGGAGAAGAGAUCGUUUGUUCGUGAAGCAGAAGCUCCGGAGACAAUGACUGAUGCGCGACUAGAUCUAUUAGAUCCAUUAUCCAUGUCAUGGAGCCGUCAGACGGGUAGCUGCAGUGUGUAUUGGCGAGGAUCGCUCUACGUGAAUUUUUACGGUGUGUUUGUUGUGAGGUUAUCUUUCUCGAAUGGGAAGUACCGAGUAAUCAAAACACCGGUAAAUGAUGAGGAGAGCAUUCACGUGCACUCUUAUGUUGGGAAAUCGGAACAUGGUGUGUACUUUGCAACAGUUCAUGAUGGAUGUCGACUUCAGGUUUGGACUCUCAUGGAAUCAAGUGAACGGGUAGAUUGGGUGUCGAAGAAACAUAUCGAUCUGGGAAAUGCAACUCUACCAUUGUGCCAGCCAGAUUAUAUGGAGGGAACUGGAAAAACUUGGAUUUUGGACGACGAUGAUGAUGUGAAUGGCAACAGUAGAGACAUAAGGAGGGAAAAUUUGGACUGGGACUCCGAUGAUGAUAACAUUGUGAAUAUUGAAGAUUCUUCUUAUCAUUAUUCCCACACCUAUGUCUCCUUUCUCGGGUUUCAUCCCUACAAAGAAGUUGUUUUCUUGGCGUUGGCAUCAUACAAA
rnacentral:rRNA from 1 species